AGCCUGCAUCAAGAGUUGGGCUCGCCCAACGCCAACCUGCUUCCCGAGCAAGGUGGCGCCCCGUCGGGGGGAUGCGGCCGCGACGGCAACGAAACGGGUGAUC
rnacentral:ncRNA from 1 species